UACAGAGGGUGCAAGCGUUGUUCGGAAUUACUGGGCGUAAAGCGCGCGUAGGCGGCUUUGUAAGUUAGAGGUGAAAGCCCGGAGCUCAACUCCGGAAUUGCCUUUAAGACUGCAUCGCUAGAAUCAUGGAGAGGUUAGUGGAAUUCCGAGUGUAGAGGUGAAAUUCGUAGAUAUUCGGAAGAACACCAGUGGCGAAGGCGACUAACUGGACAUGUAUUGACGCUGAGGUGCGAAAGCGUGGGGAGCAAACAGG
rnacentral:rRNA from 1 species